rnacentral:rRNA from 1 species
GUGUGAGUGAGGAAUUGUCGGGUUAGGGUUAGAGUGAGUAGGAAUGUGUGUAAUUUAUUUGUAGGUCAUGUGAAGUGGUGAAAUAUGCUAAUUGUUUUGUUGCGUUUAAGUUAGGACGAAUGUUCGAUUCCUUUAAGAUUGGAGUAGAGACCAGGAUUAGAUACCCUGUUAUUUCUUUAAUAAUGUUAAAUACUUGGGGUAGUAAACAGAUAUAGGCUCGAAACUUAAAGAAUUUGGCGGUACUUAAGUCUAGUUAGAGGAACCUGUACAGUAAACGAUAAACCGCGAAUAUCUUAUUUUGUCUUGCGUUGGAUCAGCACGUAUACCGCCAUUACAGGUAAUCUUUGAAGGGGUUUACUGGAAUAGAGAAGUAUCUAAGAUAUUAGGUCGAGGUGCGGCUAAUGAUAAAGUUGAUAUGGGUUACAUUGAUGUUAGAAUUGCGCGGAUAAUACCGGUAAGGUCGGUCUUUAAAGUUGGAUUUAAUAGUAAGUUUGGUAAAUUACGCUUUACUGAUAUUAGCUCUUGGGUAUGUACACAUCGCCCGUCGUUCUCGCUUU